AGCAGAGUCAGAAUGCAACAGGAACUGGGCAGCUCCUGAGUCCUGCCUCUCAUCCUCUGCCCUCAUGUUCUGGGACAGGGGUCACCCUCUGGAUUUGGGCAUCACAUCAGGUGGAGGCAGGACUUGUGAGGUCUGCUGAGACUGAGAUUUGGUCUGAAAGGUGCCAGAACCUGCUGUCUCCUCCACCAACCAUCAGGGAGGGCAGGUUGAAGCUCAGAAAGAAACUGUGACUUCUCACACAGAGACGGGACCUUGGUACAGCCUGUGUGUUUGUCUGUCCUGCAGGGCUCAGGGACAUUUUAUGUCAUCUGAACCCUUGGGAACCCUGGCAGACAGUGUUAUGACCCUGGCCUUCAUUUCUCUUCUUUGUCUCGGGCUGUGCCAGGGCCCAUGGGACCAGGUCCAGGCAGGAGAGCACAGCACACCCUCCCUCUCAGCCCACCCAGGCCCAGUGGUGGCCUCAGGAAGGAGAAUGUCCCUCUUGUGCAGCUCACAGUCCACAUGGGACACUUUCCACCUGCUGAAAGAGGGAGGGGCUGAGCCUUCCCAACACA